rnacentral:rRNA from 1 species
UACGUAGGUGGCAAGCGUUGUCCGGAUUUAUUGGGUUUAAAGGGUGCGUAGGCGGUUCUAUAAGUCAGUGGUGAAACCCGGCAGCUCAACUGUCGAUGUGCCAUUGAUACUGCAGAACUUGAGUACAGACGAGGUAGGCGGAAUUGACGGUGUAGCGGUGAAAUGCUUAGAUAUCGUCAAGAACACCGAUAGCGAAGGCAGCUUACUAGACUGUAACUGACGCUGUUGCACGAAAGUGUGGGGAUCAAACAGG